ensembl:ncRNA F25D7.9 ncRNA
AAUAAAAACCUCGGUUUCAAAGCGUUUUCACUGCGUCAAGCAAGUCUUGAAAAUUACACUAUCAUAAAUGACAAAAAAUACUUCGUUUUAAGUAUUAUUGAUAAGAAUUUUUGAGAAUGGUUUUUUAUCGGAGGAAAAUAAAACGUUUUAAAGGAGAAAAUUGUGAUUUCCAUUGUUUUUGCUUAAAGUAAAAAAAAAAGUAUUUUUCUCAUUUGAAAUAAUU